rnacentral:tRNA from 1 species
GGGGUUGUGGCUCAGCGGUAGAGUGCUCGCUUAGCGCAUGCGAGACCCUGGGUUCGAUCCUCAGCACCACA